UUACGGCCACACCAAGUUGAAACACCGGUUUCCAUACGAUCACUGAAGUUAAGCAACGACGAGCCUGGUCAGUAACAUAGAUGUGUGAACCCCUGGGAAUACCAGAUGCUGUAAG